GACGAACGCUGGCGGCGUGCUUAACACAUGCAAGUCGAGCGGUAAGGCCCUUUCGGGGGUACACGAGCGGCGAACGGGUGAGUAACACGUGGGUGACCUGCCCUCAGCUCUGGGAUAAGCCUGGGAAACGUGGGUCUAAUACUGGAUAUGACUCCACGGUGCAUGUCGGUGGGGUGGAAAGCCUUGUGCGGCUGAGGAUGGGCCCGCGGCCUAUCAGCUUGUUGGUGAGGUCACGGCUCACCAAGGCGACGAUGGCUAGGGGGUGUGAGAGCAU
rnacentral:rRNA from 1 species